UGGGGAAUAUUGGACAAUGGGCGCAAGCCUGAUCCAGCAAUGCCGCGUGUGUGAAGAAGGCCUGCGGGUUGUAAAGCACUUUUCAGUGGGGAGGAGAGGCUCCUGGCUAAUAUCCAGGGGAAGAGACGUUACCCACAGAAGAAGCACCGGCUAACUCUGUGCCAGCAGCCGCGGUAAUACAGAGGGUGCAAGCGUUAAUCGGAAUUACUGGGCGUAAAGGGUGCGUAGGUGGUUUGAUAAGUUGGGUGUGAAAGUCCUGGGCUCAACCUGGGGACUGCGCUCAAUACUGUCAAGCUAGAGUACUGUAGAGGAAGGUGGAAUUUCCAGUGUAGCGGUGAAAUGCGUAGAUAUUGGAAGGAACAUCAGUGGCGAAGGCGACUUUCUGGACAGAUACUGACACUGAGGCACGAAAGCGUGGGGAGCAAACAGGAUUAGAUACCCACGUAGUCCCUGAGCGGGCUGGCAAGGCGCAU
rnacentral:rRNA from 1 species